UCAGUCCAUGAGAGGGUGGUGUGGAGACCAUGUCUAACUGUGGUAACCUUCUUCUGUUUAAUCUGGGAAAACUUCAGGCUUAUUGUACAUUGACCCUUGUGAUGUACUUGCUCCUUAUGGACACCACAAUUCACUUUAUGUGGCAUGAUGUUUUCCAAAGUGACGUCCAUGUUAAAUAUAAUGUAUGAGCAUAUUGGAAGAAAGAGGUACUUGAGAAGUCAAUAUGAAAAUCCUCAUAAAAUCCCUGGAGAGACUUGAAUUCAUUUUUCUAGUAAAACAAACCUUGUUGUUGUGUUAUGUAUGUGCCUAGAAGAUUAUUGUUGUAUGAUAUACACAAGUCUGUGAUUGUGCAGAGUUGUCCAAUAUUUGAUACAACAUUUGUGGUUGUGAGUUGAAGGAUGUUGUGGAUCCUCAUCUAACUUUCAAAGAAGCCUAAACUAAGAUUAUUGAGUGUGCUUAUUGCAUGUAAAAAACAUGAAAUAUCAAAGCUACAUGUGUGUUUCGCUGGUAGUCUUUUUCUUUUAUGACUUGUGGCUAAUGAAAUGCAAUUUGUAUAAGUCAAUAAAUAAAUAAAAUAUGGCUAGUGUUGCAAUGGCCAGUUGAAGUUCAGAUAACAUAAAUAGCACGAUUGACAUUUAAGACGAGACAGUCAGUACCAUAUUUCUUAUAGCUUGAUAAAGUAUACUUGGAAGUUUUGUAUAUAAAAAGUAUUAAAGAUGGCAUAAAUAAAUGAAAAUAAUAUUACUAGAAAUUGUCUUAUAUAUUGCAUUACUGAAAACUUUGUGUAAAGCAAGUCUGUGUAGCAAAAUUUUAUUAUUAACAAAAUUAUGUCAUUUAGUUUAGAAGAGCAUGAGAAUUCUUCUUCUCUAACUGAGACUGUUUUUUAUUUGUAAAAAUGAAAAGUGGCUUUAAAAAAGGUUCACAUGUUUUUGUUUACAUUAUUAGGACACUGUUCUUUCAUCAGGUUUAAUAUAACAUAUUUUUAGAUUUAUCUUUUUUGAUUUGUUAAUACUUUUAUAUAUAUUGGCAAUAAUAAUACUCUAUAAUACAUAUAAUAAUAAUAUUCAUAUUACUCUACAAAAUGCCACAGAUCUUACAACAUUUUUGAUAUAGUGUGAUUUUUAAGGAAGCUUGCCAAAGCAUGCAUACUUUUUUAAUAUUAUUUUCUGUUUGUGUAUAACAUUUCAAUAACUUUAAAUUGCUUCAGAAAUAAAGUUGAAAAAAUACAGAUGAAAAUUCUAAUAUGAAUAUAUACAUACAUGUGAAUAAACAUAUUACUUGGAUUAAUGCUAAUAGUAAUGUACUUGCUUUUCCCAUAGAUUUUGCUAGAUUCAUAAACUUUUAUACUGAUUUUUGAUGUAGAAAAGUUUUUGUAACCAAAAAAUGUUCAACAUUUGAAAGUGAACAGCAGUGUACAUUGAAUAUAAAUGUAUUGCAGUCUGUAAUCAGUAUGUCAUUAUUCCUGAAGACCUGUAUCUGUUUGUAUAAAUUACUGUAUGUAUGUUUUAUUUAAAUGAAAUAAAUAAACUGUAAUA